UUGGUGUCCCUCUGUAAGUAGCAGCACCUCCACUGGAACAGAAAGAGCUUCCACAUGGAGUUGCUGUUACAUGCAGCCAGCACCAG